rnacentral:rRNA from 1 species
UACGGAGGGUGCAAGCGUUAUCCGGAUUCACUGGGUUUAAAGGGAGCGUAGGCGGGCAGGUAAGUCAGUGGUGAAAUCCCCGUGCUUAACAUGGGAACUGCCGUUGAUACUAUCUGUCUUGAAUGCCGUGGAGAUGAGCGGAAUAUGUCAUGUAGCGGUGAAAUGCUUAGAUAUGACAUAGAACACCAAUUGCGAAGGCAGCUCGUUACACGAACAUUGACUCUGAGGCUCGAAAGCGUGGGGAUCAAACAGG